rnacentral:rRNA from 1 species
UACGGGGGGAGCAAGCGUUGUUCGGAUUUACUGGGCGUAAAGGGCGCGUAGGCGGCCACCGCAAGUCGACUGUGAAAUCUCCGGGCUUAACCCGGAAAGGUCAGCCGAUACUGCGGGGCUAGAGUGCAGAAGGGGCAACUGGAAUUCUCGGUGUAGCGGUGAAAUGCGUAGAUAUCGAGAGGAACACCUGCGGCGAAGGCGGGUCUCUGGGCCGUAACUGACGCUGAGGAGCGAAAGCAUGGGGAGCGAACAGG